rnacentral:rRNA from 1 species
GACGAACGCUGGCGGCGUGCUUAACACAUGCAAGUCGAGCGGUAAGGCCCUUUCGGGGGUACACGAGCGGCGAACGGGUGAGUAACACGUGGGUGACCUGCCCUCAGCUCUGGGAUAAGCCUGGGAAACUGGGUCUAAUACUGGAUAUGACUCCACGGUGCAUGUCGUGGGGUGGAAAGCCUUGUGCGGCUGAGGAUGGGCCCGCGGCCUAUCAGCUUGUUGGUGGGGUGANGGCCUACCAAGGCGACGACGGGUAGCCGGCCUGAGAGGGCGACCGGCCACACUGGGACUGAGACACGGCCCAGACUCCUACGGGAGGCAGCAGUGGGGAAUCUUGCGCAAUGGGCGAAAGCCUGACG